CCAAUAGCGUAUAUUAAAGUUGUUGCAGUUAAAAAGCUCGUAGUUGAACUUCGGGGUUUACUCAUUGGUCAGGCUUAAUUGUCUGUACUGGUGAGAUGAAUCUCUACCUUCUGAGGAACUUUCAUGCCAUUUAUUUGGUGUGAUGGGAAAUCAGGACUGUUACUUUGAAAAAAUUAGAGUGUUUAAAGCAGGCUAACGUCUGAAUACAUUAGCAUGGAAUAAUGAAAUAGGACGGACUGAUUCUAUUUCGUUGGUUUCUAGGAUCACCGUAAUGAUUAAUAGGGAUAGUUGGGGGCAUUAGUAUUCAAUUGUCAGAGGUGAAAUUCUUGGAUUUAUUGAAGACUAACUACUGCGAAAGCAUUUGCCAAGGAUGUUUUCAUUAAUCAAGAACGAAAGUUAGGGGAUCGAAGACGAUCAGAUACCGUCGUAGUCUUAACCAUAAACUAUGCCGACUAGGGAUCGGGCGAAGUUAAUUUUAUAAUGACGCGUUCGGCACCUUACG
rnacentral:rRNA from 1 species